CAGUCCCAUCUCAGGUUCCUCCCUGAAUGUGAUCCUUUUUUGAAACCCUGCCACUGCCUACGUCCCACUGCAUGUGUUGUGUCCCUUAUCUAAAGACCCACAGGGUCUCCCAGGCUACGGUGCAGUGGAGCCAUUGCUCUGUCGCCCAAGCUGGAGUGCAGUGGCACCAUCACUGCAGCCUCGAACUCCUGGGCUCAAGUGACUCUCCUGCCUCAGCCUUCUGAGCAGCUGGGACUACAGGCGUGCGCCGGCAUACCCAGCUAACAUUUUAAUUUUUAUCUUUGUAGAGACAAGGUCUCCCUAUGUUGCCCAGGCUGGUCUCGGACUCCUGGGCUCAAGCGAUCCUCCUGCCUCGGCCUCCCAGUCCUGGGAGUACAGGCGUGAGCCACCGUGCCCUGUCCUUUCUCCUAUUUUAAUUUCAGCAUAGGCCUUGCCCCUGCAUCAGAAAAGAGUCCUGAUUUGUGCCUUUGUCCUACCUGAAGUUCCUCCCCUUGCUCCCUUCCAAUCUGGUCCGCCCCCUUGGCUGCUUCGUGUCCCCGCCUGGACCCUGUGCAGGUCACUCCGCAAACGCUCAUAAGCUGGAUAUAAGUGGAGAGAGUCAUCAUCAUACAUGGGCCCCUAGGCUUUCAUGGAGGCAAGGAAGCAGGCAAAGCAAGGCGUCUAGGUGGUGAUGGACUCCAUUGUUAAGGCAGCAUAGGCCCUAGCAACGUGGAAGAGCGGAGUUUGUAGACUUUAAUUGACAGAAAGAUAGUGUGAGCUUUGAUUGGCAGGCGUUUGGAGGUGGGAGGGGUUCCUCGUUGCUGAUAGGUCGAGACGCUAAGUCUGUGGGUGCUGAUUGGUGGAGCGGCAGAGCCUGGACAGGGCGGCUGAUUUAAUGUACAUUUUGGCCCGCAGAAAGCCCAGUUCAGCUGGGAUCCAGAGACUGUCGGCCUCAUACACGGCUCCUUUUUCUGGGGCUACAUUGUCACUCAGAUUCCAGGAGGAUUUAUCUGUCAAAAAUUUGCAGCCAACAGUUUUCGGCUUUGCUAUUGUGGCAACAUCCACUCUAAACAUGCUGAUCCCCUCAGCUGCCCGCGUCCACUAUGGCUGUGUCAUCUUCGUGAGGAUCCUGCAGGGGUUGGUAGAGGUAAAUCCCCGCCUGAUAUGACCCUGCCCUCGCUCGGACCCUGCCUCUUCUCAGUGACCUUGGUUUUCUCCUCUUUAGGGGGUCACAUACCCCGCCUGCCAUGGGAUCUGGAGCAAAUGGGCCCCACCCUUAGAACGGAGUCGCCUGGCGACGACAGCCUUUUGUGGUUCCUAUGCUGGGGCGGUGGUGGCGAUGCCCCUCGCCGGGGUCCUUGUGCAGUACUCAGGAUGGAGCUCUGUUUUCUACGUCUACGGCAGCUUCGGGAUCUUCUGGUACCUGUUCUGGCUGCUCGUCUCCUACGAGUCCCCCGCGCUGCACCCCAGCAUCUCGGAGGAGGAGCGCAAGUACAUCGAGGACGCCAUCGGAGAGGGCGCGAAACUCAUGAACCCCCUCACGAAGUUUAGCACUCCCUGGCGGCGCUUCUUCACGUCUAUGCCAGUCUAUGCCAUCAUCGUGGCCAACUUCUGCCGCAGCUGGACGUUCUACCUGCUGCUCAUCUCCCAGCCCGCCUACUUCGAAGAAGUGUUCGGCUUCGAGAUCAGCAAGGUAGGCCUGGUGUCCGCGCUGCCCCACCUGGUCAUGACCAUCAUCGUGCCCAUCGGCGGCCAGAUCGCGGACUUCCUGCGGAGCCGCCGCAUCAUGUCCACCACCAACGUGCGCAAGUUGAUGAACUGCGGAGGCUUCGGCAUGGAAGCCACGCUGCUGUUGGUGGUCGGCUACUCGCACUCCAAGGGCGUGGCCAUCUCCUUCCUGGUCCUAGCCGUGGGCUUCAGCGGCUUCGCCAUCUCUGGGUUCAACGUGAACCACCUGGACAUAGCCCCGCGCUACGCCAGCAUCCUCAUGGGCAUCUCCAACGGCGUGGGCACACUGUCGGGCAUGGUGUGCCCCAUCAUCGUGGGGGCCAUGACUAAGCACAAGACUCGGGAGGAGUGGCAGUACGUGUUCCUAAUUGCCUCCCUGGUGCACUAUGGAGGUG
rnacentral:sRNA from 1 species